AGUGAACGCUGGCGGUAGGCCUAACACAUGCAAGUCGAACGGCAGCACAGUAAGAGCUUGCUCUUACGGGUGGCGAGUGGCGGACGGGCGAGGAAUACAUCGGAAUCUACUUUUUCGUGGGGGAUAACGUAGGGAAACUUACGCUAAUACCGCAUACGACCUACGGGUGAAAGCAGGGGAUCUUCGGACCUUGCGCGAUUGAAUGAGCCGAUGUCGGAUUAGCUAGUUGGCGGGGUAAAGGCCCACCAAGGCGACGAUCCGUAGCUGGUCUGAGAGGAUGAUCAGCCACACUGGAACUGAGACACGGUCCAGACUCCUACGGGAGGCAGCAGUGGGGAAUAUUGGACAAUGGGCGCAAGCCUGAUCCAGCCAUGCCGCGUGAGUGGAGAAGGCCUUCGGGUUGUAAAGCCCUUUUGUUGGGAAAGAAAAGCAGCAGGUUAAUACCCCGCUGUUCUGACGGUACCCAAAGAAUAAGCACCGGCUAACUUCGUG
rnacentral:rRNA from 1 species